rnacentral:rRNA from 1 species
AACGAACGCUGGCGGCAUGCCUAACACAUGCAAGUCGAACGAAGGCUUCGGCCUUAGUGGUGCACGGGUGCGUAACGCGUGGGAAUCUGCCCUUUGGUUCGGAAUAACAGCUGGAAACGGCUGCUAAUACCGGAUGAUGACGAAAGUCCAAAGAUUUAUCGCCAGAGGAUGAGCCCGCGUUGGAUUAGGUAGUUGGUGGGGUAAAGGCCUACCAAGCCGACGAUCCAUAGCUGGUCUGAGAGGAUGAUCAGCCACACUGGGACUGAGACACGGCCCAGACUCCUACGGGAGGCAGCAGUGGGGAAUAUUGGACAAUGGGCGCAAGCCUGAUCCAGCAAUGCCGCGUGAGUGAUGAAGGCCCUAGGGUUGUAAAGCUCUUUUACCCGGGAAGAUAAUGACUGUACCGGGAGAAUAAGCCCCGGCUAACUCCGUG